AUACGUAGGGGGCAAGCGUUAUCCGGAAUUACUGGGUGUAAAGGGAGCGCAGACGGCUAAGCAAGUCUGAUGUGAAAGUCAUGGGCUCAACCCAUGGAUUGCAUUGGAAACUGCGAAGCUGGAGUGUCGGAGGGGUAAGCGGAAUUCCUGGUGUAGCGGUGAAAUGCGUAGAUAUCAGGAGGAACACCGGUGGCGAAGGCGGCUUACUGGACGAUCACUGACGUUGAGGCUCGAAAGCGUGGGGAGCAAACAGGAUUAGAUACCCUGGUAGUCCACGCGGUAAACGAUGAAUACUAGGUGUCGGGGGGCGAAGCUCUUCGGUGCCGAAAGCAAACGCAGUAAGUAUUCCACCUGGGGAGUACGUUCGCAAGAAUGAAACUCAAAUGAAUUGACGGGG
rnacentral:rRNA from 1 species